UGUAAAACCAUUUUAAGAGUACCUGUAAAAUUCUAUGUAUGUGAUAUGAUUAUUUAUUAAUUACAACUCGUGAGAAUGAACAUUAAGCUAUGUAUCGGUUGUGUCAUCCAUUUGAAAACUGGAACUGCAAACUGGAGAAGAGUUUGUAAUGAACAGUAGACUUCAAAAAUGUGGGAAAUGAUUGAAUACGAUUGUGUGAUUCUUAAAGCUGCAUAGCAAUAUGUUAUUUUGUGAUGUUAAACUUUCAGCUACAGUUGCAAAGUAUACUGAGUGAUUAAGCUACUUUCUUCCAUUAAAACUUCCUGAGGCUGAAAUUUCUACAUGUUGGUAAUUUGAUGUCUAAAUACACUUAAAUCCUCUACAUCUUCUGGAGACUCUCAGUUUACUCCAGCUCAGCAGACUGACUGUAACUUCUUUAUCCAAGUAGUGCUCCAUUGAGUUUACAGGGGUACCAUGCAAUACCCAGUAAUUUUUUUUUUAGGGUUUUCUGCACCAAUCCCCACAGAAUCAGACCUUUAAAAGAUUAAUUUGACCAGUGUAUUUGGUAUCAUACUCAGCCGUCUAAUAACAUAAUAGUUAUAAUAGUGCAUUAUCACUUACGCUAGCUUUAAGUACUUAGAGUCCCUUCUUGCCAAGUGCAGACUUGAAUGCAUCCAGUGAUGCAUUCAGCUCCUCUACUUCUGUGGAAGUCAAUGCAAUACAUCUGUGUGCUAAGCACACACUACAGGAUCUGGCCUCGAGGGGACUUAAACUGAGGUUGAUCACACAGGCCAGGAGGUACCUGUAGCCUCUGCAUUGCCCUUAGCACAGGAUCCCCUCAAAUCCAAUGUACACACCCACUGACUUCAGUUAACCCCAGUAUGCACAUAGCAUUUGUUUGCCUAAAUUCUGCAGGAUCAACCCUCUCUUUCUUUUAGCAAGUUACCAUCUACUUCCAUUUUUGAUUAAGAGAACAGCCACAGGGAACAGAUGGCUGGAAGACGAGGGUGAGGUCAGAGGCUGGGAUGUGGCUGUUGAAGUUCCCAGACCUCUACAGCUGAAAGCUCUUACCCUGAUAAUAGGUUGCUUGCUGUUUUCCAUUGAACUCAUAGGUAGUGGACCUCAAUAGAAGUAAAAAACCCUAAAGCUUUGUUAUUUCCACACUCUGCAGUUUUUUGUCAGGUAAAUAACAUCAAAUUCUUCCCCUCAGCAUACCAGUGAUAACACUAAUUUACAGCUGCCCAGCUUAGGAUUGUUUACGUUUCAGGUUUGUACCUAAACAGGACUUGCAGUAUGGCUUGUUCCCACCCAUGCCACCCCAAGAUCAUGAAGCUAUUCAUGCAGGAGGAUGGGAGGUAGAUGUAUAUUAAAUGAUUUGGAAAAGUCAUAUUCUGAAUGGGAUGGCUUGCUUGACAUGACUCCAGAGCUAACAAAGGGUGAAAAAUUAACCCUUUUAUUUUCAAGUGCCAUGUCCAUUUCAGGGUUAUCAUAACUGUAAUUGUGGAACAUCAAAAUAUUUCUUUCCUCCUCUAAAUAUUAGACAUGGGAAACUUCCUUCCACCUCAGUGGCACUUUUGAUGACUCCUUUCCAGGCAGCUGCUACUGCUGAUAUUGGAAAAUGAGACCUGUGUUAUUUUCUAACCAUGAGGUGAAUGUCUCUGAACAUGAAAUAGGCCCUUGAGUGAUCAAUAUACUUCUUUCGUCACGAAAAGGUUAGAAGGAACAAUAAAAAUAAUUUUACCUAGGUGAGAAAUACUAAAACCUACCAUUCCAAGAAAGGCUUGAUCCUGCCCUCACUGCUGUAUUAAUUCAGGUAAUAUUUUAUUCCCCAAGUAGUUUCAUUACUUUCACUGGGCCUUCCUGGAAUCUCCUGGAUUCAUGGAAUAGAUUUGCUCUGUGUCCAAGGACCAAUUUGUACAGGGAGAUCCUGAUCCAUGGCCAUUAUUAAAACUGUAAGAGAAAAUCACCACUGUUUACUUAGAUAAAUCAAGUAACUUUCAAAUUCUAUGCUGCUCAUUUUUUUUUUGAGAGAAAUAAUGCAGUCACUUUCUUAUGUCAAAUAACUUACACAGGUCAAAUAAGUAUAUUUUUAUUGUAAUAAAAAAUUCAACUUCUUUUGUCUUAGACAAAACAUAUUUUGGUAGGCAUACCACUUUGUGCUAUUGUAUUCUGCUGUAUAAAAAGCUGAAUAAACUUUUUUACCCUUGUUGUUGAAGUUCUCCAGUUUAAAAUGUAAUUUGGAGAGUGCUAGUUUGCUGAAGAGUUAAUGAGGGACUUUUUAUCCUGGAGAAAUAAUUCGUAAGGAAGGAAUGUGGUAUUUAAAAUGAAUGUUUCUCUUUGGCAAGUGGUGAAGAAUGAUGGUUAUUUAAAUGAGAACAAAUACUGGGAGGAUUUGAGUGGUACCAAAAGAUAUACUGAAGGAGAUGCAUUUUAAUGUACUUUCAAAUACAUUUCUUCUGAAUGCUUUCAGUCAGUGGUAUAUAUUGAAUGUUUGCACUUUGUUGCUGAAAGCUAAUUUUUGUGAGAAAGAAAUAUAUUCUUCUGUAUAGUUGGUACACUAGAAACGAAAAUGUUUUUAGAAACUGUUACGCCAUAAUAAGAAUAGUAUUUACUAGUGAAUAGUUCCAAUUUAUUUUAUAGAAUCUCCAAUUUUGAAAUAAAUGGACAGGCUUCCUGU
rnacentral:lncRNA from 1 species